rnacentral:rRNA from 1 species
UACGUAGGCAGCGAGCGUUGUUCGGAAUUACUGGGCGUAAAGAGUGUGUAGGCGGUGCUCCCAGUCUGUUGUGAAAUCUCCCGGCUUAACUGGGAGGGUGCAGCGGAAACUAGAGUGCUAGAGGGUGGGAGAGGUAAGCGGAAUUCCUGGUGUAGCGGUGAAAUGCGUAGAUAUCAGGAGGAACACCUGUGGUGUAGACAGCUUACUGGACCACUUCUGACGCUGAGACACGAAAGCGUGGGUAGCAAGCAGG